rnacentral:rRNA from 1 species
GCUAACAACGUGCCAGCGGCGGGUGUAUAACGAUGGUGGCAAGGGUUAGUCGGAAUUAUUGGACGUAAAGGGCGCGUAGGCGGUUUUUGAAGUCUGAUGUGAAAGCCCACGGCUCAACCGUGGAGGGUCAUUGGAAACUGGAAAACUUGAGUGCAGAAGAGGAAAGUGGAAUUCCAUGUGUAGCGGUGAAAUGCGCAGAGAUAUGGAGGAACACCAGUGGCGAAGGCGACUUUCUGGUCUGCAACUGACGCUGAUGUGCGAAAGCGUGGGGAUCAAACAGGAUUAGAUACCCGGGUAGUC